AACCCUAAUAAUUCCUAAAUCCUAAGUCAAAUCCUAAACAAAUCUUAAAUUAAAUCCUAUUUCAAACCCUAAACCCUAAACCAAACCCUAAAUCAAAUCCUAAACCAAACCCUAAUCCAAUCCUAAACCCUAAACCAAACCUUAAAUCAAAUCCUAACCAAACCCUAGUCCAAACUCUAAUCCAAACCCUAAAUCAAACCCUAACUAAAUCCUAAACCCUAAUCCAAAUCCUAAUCCAACCUAAUCCAAUCUUAAACUCUAAUCCAAAUCCUAAACCCUAAACCAAACCUUAAAUCAAACCCUAACCAAACCAUAAACCAAACCUUAAAUCAAACCCUAACCAAACCCUAAACCAAACCUUAAAUCAAAUCCUAACCAAAUCCUAAUCCAAACCCUAAAUCAAACCCUAACCAAAUCCUAAACCCUAAUCCAAACCCU
rnacentral:lncRNA from 1 species